rnacentral:rRNA from 1 species
AGAGCGAACGCUGGCGGCAGGCCUAACACAUGCAAGUCGAGCGGCCGUAGCAAUACGGCAGCGGCAGACGGGAGAGUAACACGUGGGAACGCGCCCUUCGGUUCGGAAUAACUCAGGGAAACUUGGGCUAAUACCGGAUACGCCCUUACGGGGAAAGAUUUAUUGCCGAAGGAACGGCCCGCGUCCGAUUAGCUUGUUGGUGAGGUAACGGCUCACCAAGGCGACGAUCGGUAGCUGGUCUGAGAGGAUGACCAGCCUCACUGGGACUGAGACACGGCCCAGACUCCUACGGGAGGCAGCAGUGGGGAAUAUUGGACAAUGGGCGCAAGCCUGAUCCAGCCAUGCCGCGUGGGUGAUGAAGGCCCUAGGGUUGUAAAGCCCUUUCGGCGGGUAAGAUAAUGACGGUACCCGCAGAAGAAGCCCGGCUAACUUCGUGCCAGCAGCCGC